GGUAAUAGUGACAUCCACAGCGUUAAAGAUUUGUGUUUACUGAAACCAGAAUUUCUUCGGUUAACAUUCCAAGCAAUCGCAUGUUGCCUAGAUAACGUCCAACCCAAAGAUGCAGAUACGUGGAGUGAAGAGGCGACCGACUGCUUUGAAGCCCUUACCUACGCUUGCCAGUGGAAACCUCUUAUGGCCCGCGUCAACUGUUACACAGAGCCGAGUGAGAAAAUGACCAAUGCAAUGCCUAUGCCUUGCAUUGAUUUGGUUGAUACCUCCAGCAAAGAUGAAGAUAUACGUGUAGGUCUAGAACUAAUUAAACAAGGUUUUGCUGUUCGAGUAAGACCGGAACCUAGUGAUAACCCAGAGAUUCCUGUGAAUUCUAGUUCCUCUUUACCUAAUAGCAAUGAUAUUAGUAGAAAUUCAACCAAUCGUCAAUCCCGAGGUCCAGCCACCCAAGAGCGUCCAGUUAUCAAAGCUUGCCCAGCAGGCUAUGAGGAUGAACUAGUGGAAGACGAAGAUGACUUCGACUUUUACUAGCUAAUCUCUUGCAACUCCUUAAAACUAGUGAUGUUCUAAUGGAUUACCGUACAACACCAGACUUAUUGAUUUAUUAAAUUUUUAGUAAAACAAAUUUGCUGCAGUAGCUGAAAUUCAACAUCCUUCUAUAUCUUCAGGAAGUUUGCUCAUCCAUUUACAUUAUAUCAUUUCGCUCACUCAUUUUAUUCAGUAAACAGGGUCUCAUUCCUCAAGGUUCUCUAUGUAGGCUCUAAUCCUGAUAAUAAAUUGAAGGCAUAAGUCAAAAGCAAAGCUCCAUUGCAGCAUUUCAAAAUCUCCGAUCAUGUUUUAAUUUUUAAGAGGAAAAAACCAAAAUAUAUUUCAACAAGUGAAUAUUAUGCAUGGAAAAUUUUGUGAGAAACUGGUCGUUUGUUUUUUUUUAAAAAAACUAAUAUCUAAAAUAAAUAUUAGUGGAGAUUUGCAACUUCAUAACCGAAAAUAUGUAUUUUUCAGCUGUAUUAAAUGAUAUGCACUUCCUCUCUUUUCAACGACCUUUAUUUUGAGCAGCUAUUGUUUUGAAAUUUUCGGUGGAACUUUCAAAAUUCUUAUCUUCCGUCUACUGAUAAAUGUCAGGAAAACUGAAUUUUUGUUGAUGUAAAUAAAAGUUUGGGUGUACUCUUAAUCUGAUAUUGGGACAUCUCUAUGAAACCAAUAAUGUGCCACUUUCUAAUUUUAGUUUUUUUUAAUCUUUCUAAGAUUAUUUGUUUAAAUAUAUUUGUUGCAAUUAAUGGUAACCACUAGAUAUGUGUAUUUUUUUUUUUUUUUUUUUUUUUUUUUUUUUUUUUUUUUUUUUUUUUUUUUAAAUGAUAGGAAACUAUACCAAGAGACCACCGGUAGCAUCAGGAUACAAUUUCAUUUACAUUGUAAUUUUAAAUUGCUUCGAGGACAAUACCUGUUCAAGAAUCUAUCUCUUUCCUAAGGAAAUUCAACUCAUGAAGGGACAUUUUUUUCUCUCUCCCGUAAGUUUUCUUUCAGGGGCAUAAAAGGACCAAAUAAGUUUUUAUCUCGAAUGUUUUAACAAGUGAUAUUUAUGUUAAAUUGAAGAAUCGUCUUUUUCAAAUGACAAUUCUCAGAAUCAAGAAGCUGUGAGAUUUGUUGAGACCCUAUGCUUCUCCUACCUUCAUACUCUACAAAGUUGUGCUUUAGCUCACUGCACUUUGACUGGAUUUGAAUCUUUUGUAAAAAUAUUUCAAAAUGGCGGAGAUACCUAAUUAAUUAUCAAUAGUUGAGCUUGGAUGCAAAAUUAUGUGUCAAUUUUUCUAUAGUUGGCCUUACAACUUUUAUUUUGUAUACCUAGAUUAAGACCUUUUUCAGUCAAUGCUUAUGAACGUAACAAGCAGUGGAUGUACUUAACAAAUUGUUGAUGUAUGUAAUGCUAGUUUUUAUGCCCUCCUUGUAGCAGUAAGUAAUACACGGUAUUAUGAUAGUGAAGCAGUCCACUAAGAAUAAUUUUUUAUUGACAGUGAUCAGUUGUUGAGAGUGACUAUAAAAUUUGUAAUCCGUUGUUUACAUGACAUCAAAGUAUGUAAAAGUGGUGGUGGCUUGAAAAUCUUUAAAGUCAAUUUUGAAGCAUCGAACGUGAAAGGCGAUGAAUUUUGAAUAUUAUGGCUGUGAUUCAUUAAUUCUGACAUAUUUUCUUGCCUAUUCAUACUUCUUGUGAAGAAUCAAGAGGCAAGUAAUUCAAAUUCUCAGGUUUUUACCACUGCUCAUUCUUGCAGAAAUUAAGAGAGUUCAAUUUCCUCUCUCUCCUUCCCCCCUCAUCUAUCAACUAUCUGAGCUGAUGAAGUGAAUGGUAACUCUUACUAUUUCUUUUCACUCUUCAUGAAAUAAUGCACCAAAUUAUGCUGCUCCGUACAGCUCUACUCCCAGCAAGAGGGAACUCUGUUGUUUUGUUUUUGAAUUUUUUCUUUUACUUAAUAACAAUCUUUCGCCCAACUGGUUAGCUUCCUCUAUAAAAAUUUGUUCUUUGAUCUUUUUUUCCAAAUAAGUCACCUCAUUUAACUAGUGAUGGUUAUUUUGAGUCAUUUGUCUCCUACUACUAUUGCAGAAAAAAAAAUUAUCCGAUUUUUUCUGCCACAGGAAAAUUACAUAAAUGUGAAUGAAUCAUUAUUGAACAACAGACUAACAUGAAAAAUUCUAAAUUUUAUGAAUAAUUCAAUGGUAGUACCAUUGUGUUGGUAAUGAGCAAAAUAUCAAUCUGACCCUAAAGUGGUCUUAGAUUCGUUGUCGAGAGAUUGUUUAGACUAGCCUGACUCAUACAAACAUUUUGUCAUGAAGCUAACAAUGAUUAGAUAAAACUAUAUCAAGUCAACUGAAAAUUUUGUAGUAAAUAUGUGUUGGUAAUCAAUUCAACAAACCUAAUCUGAGCAUAGGUAAUGUAAUGUAAAAUAUUAAUGUAUAAAUAUGGUGGUAUGUACCAACUUAUGUGGGUAUAAUUUCCUCAAAUGAAUUCGACGUCCGUUUAAUGCUGAAAAUUGUUGGGCAUAGGUACCCACCAUGACUGAUUUGUGUGUUGUACCAUUAUUUGUUUUUAUUAAAUUUUUAUUAUUUUUCCUUCUUAAAAUCUGUCAGUGAAUGAUGAAAUUUCUCUCAAGUGUUAUUGUUGGCUUUUUUUCGUUUCCUCUGUGGCUUGAGAGGGUUUGAGUCAGAAAUUUUUCAUCCAAGUUCAUUUUAUUCUAAUGCGAUACUUUUUUACCACUCAGAUAUUAGUUGCUUAUAAAACUUUGAAACAAGAUACUUGUCUACUUUCUGCUUACCUCUUUUAGUUGUGACUUUUAUAUCUAGAUACCCUAAAAUUGAGCUGGAACAUUCUUGGAAUCAUUGUCCUCAGUUUUUUACUGUAGACAACCCCCCCCCCCCCUCUAGUUUUUAAGAAAACCAGUCAUUAUAAUGCAUAGCCUAUCUUUUUUCAUAGUGAUUUGGAUUGAAUGGCAUUCUUCAAUAAGAGCCUACCAUAAGAUAAUGUUCAAAGUUAAUUUUUUUGGAGGAAGAUAUUCUUGAUUCAUUUUUUUUUUCAUUCCCUGAAAAAUUUUAGUUUUCAGACUGCCACUCAGGUUCUUUACGAAAUCGACAUUUUACAGAAGAACUUUUUUGGUAGAUCUUUAGGUACUUCAAUUACUUUUUCAUUUCCUAGGAAUUUUUAAUUUUCAAACAGGGCACUCCUUGAGAUGAGACAUUCAAUUAUGACACGGUUUUGAAAAAAAUUCUACUGUUCAUCUGUACCACGAAGCUGAAGAUUAUAUCAGGAAAUAAUUUUAACACCCCAUUUUGUUUAAUUUUGCUCAUUUUUGUUACUUUUAAAUUUUGUCUUUACCUGUUUAUUUUUCCUUUUAUAUUUGUUUCUACAUUUGCAACCAGAUUAAAUCUCAAUAAAGAUUCAUAAUCAAAAUCAAUACCCCACUUUGUCAAUUUUUUAAUUUUC
rnacentral:lncRNA from 1 species